UACAGAGGGUGCGAGCGUUAAUCGGAAUUACUGGGCGUAAAGCGCACGCAGGCGGUCUUUUAAGUUUGACGUGAAAGCUCCCGGCUUAACUGGGAGAGGUCGUUGAAGACUGGAAGACUUGAGGCAAUGAGAGGGGUGUAGAAUUCCCGGUGUAGUGGUGGAAUGCGUAGAUAUCGGGGGGAAUACCAGUGGCGAAAGCGGCACCCUAGCGUUAGCCUGACGCUCAUGUGCGAAAGCGUGGGGAGCGAACGGG
rnacentral:rRNA from 1 species